rnacentral:lncRNA from 1 species
CACAAAUUGAUAUUAAAAUCCCAUCUUUUUCAUCCUUCUUUCAUUCGACCUCAUCGUCAUCAAAUUCUUCAAUUCCUGCACAAAAAUUCUUUCAUUCGACCUCAUCGCCAUCAAAUUCUUCAAUUCCUGCACAAAAAUUCAUUUAAUUGUGUAUAUUAAAUUCGCACAAAAUAAUUCAAGAAUAUGAACAACUAAAAUACACACAUCAAUGAUCCUUUCUCUAUCUAAUUCAAGAUAUAGGGAUCUAAAAAAUAUUCUCUCCGUCUCGUAAAAGAGUAUCACUUGUGGUUGUGAGAUAACACGAGUUUUAAGAAAUGUUUGGUUGAUAAUAUGUUGAGUGGAGAAAAUGGAUCCACUACUUUUUUAAGAAAAUGAUGAUGUGUGUGGUAGAUAAUGUGUGGAUUCAUGUCCCAAAAGGAAAACGAUAAUUUCUUAUGGGAUGGAUAAAAAUGGAAAAGUUGAUAUUUUUUUAUCGGACAGAGGGAGUAUAUUACAUCCCAUAGUCUCCAC